UGAGGAAUAUUGGACAAUGGGCGAAAGCCUGAUCCAGCAAUGCCGCGUGCAGGAUGAAGGCCUUCGGGUUGUAAACUGCUUUUGUACGGAACGAAAAAGCUUCUCCUAAUACGAGAGGCCCAUGACGGUACCGUAAGAAUAAGCACCGGCUAACUACGUGCCAGCAGCCGCGGUAAUACGUAGGGUGCGAGCGUUAAUCGGAAUUACUGGGCGUAAAGCGUGCGCAGGCGGUUAUAUAAGACAGAUGUGAAAUCCCCGGGCUCAACCUGGGAACUGCAUUUGUGACUGUAUAGCUAGAGUACGGCAGAGGGGGAUGGAAUUCCGCGUGUAGCAGUGAAAUGCGUAGAUAUGCGGAGGAACACCGAUGGCGAAGGCAAUCCCCUGGACCUGUACUGACGCUCAUGCACGAAAGCGUGGGGAGCAAACA
rnacentral:rRNA from 1 species